UCUGUUGUGGCCGAGUGGUUAAGGCAUUGGAUUCAAAAUCCAAUGGGGUUUCCCUGCGCAGGUUUGAAUCCUGCCGACAGCA